rnacentral:misc_RNA from 1 species
UUGAGUUAUUAGAAAACAUGCAUCUAUGAUGUGGAGGGAGGAACCAAAAAGAUGAGCGGUGCUAUAUCAUAGGAUUAAAAAUUUCUUCGGAUAAAUAGAUUAAUUGCCAGUAAAAGCAAUAGAUCAUAAACAACAGAUAGUUGUCUUGUCCCAUAUACAUCUGCCUGCUAAGGCCAUUAAAGUAACAGAUGUGGCCAACCAAAUACUUCAUUCUUCAGGCUGAAAACUGCUGGCUAUUGGAUGUUAGUGCAUAUUUG